rnacentral:lncRNA from 10 species
AUUCGGUGCUUUCCCUCUUCUUUGGAUGGAGUGUGGACGAGGAAUGGGGAGGAUGAGAGGGACGGCUGGGCAGAGGUAGGAGAGCUUGGAUGAGGUUGUGCUGUCCCUUGAAUGACACUCAAGGCUGUGGCCCCGCAGCAGAGGAAGCAGUGGUGGUGGCGUCGGCGGCGGCGGCGGCGGCAGCCGGAGCGAGCAGUAGCCGAGCUGGUUUGCAUCCAAGAGAGGGGAGGACAGGGGCAAAAGGAUGCAGGGAGGCUGCUGAUUUCCACUGAAGAGCUAAUUUCCUGUGAGACAUUAACAGUGAUUUAAGAAAAAGAUUCCUGUAACUGUAAUGUCUUACAAUAACAGAAUGCAGGAGAGCACAUAUCAAUGAAGAAAAGACAAAAUGUACUUAUCCAUGAAGCUGAGGUUAAGAAACCAGUGUCUUCAAGAGCCAGGGACAGCACUGGGUCUGUGCAGAGUUGAGAGAUGGUGAUGACAUGUGACAGAGCUCCUUGCUGCUCAAAUUUUAUGCCAGAUAAAAUAUUCACCUUCUCGGACUCCCUGGCACCAGGCAUGGCCAUGUAAUCCUACAGCACAGCUGAUGAAAGAGAAGACAUCUUGCUGCUAUUUGACAAGCAAGAAGAUAAAAGCUUUCCUAUAAAGAUGAUGGAGCAAAAAAAUAGAAGGGGCCUAGACUCCCUACCUUCACACUUCCUGCUAUAAAAGCAUUGCUAUUAUAAGGUUAAUCUGCAGAAACAGACUUCUAUGUCAUAUGCUUAAAUGCAUCAAAAUUCAUACAAUAUCCAUUAAAUUGGUAAAAGUAUCCAUUUUAAAGGAUUAAUCUGAGGGACCCACAGACACUUAACACAAUCAAAUCUCAGAAAAAAAAUCAGUUAUUUCAUUGUGAUUUUGAGGCUGAUCUUUUAUGAUCUUUUAGUUAUCAAACUGUUAAAUACAUUUUAACUUUCAAAUUUUAUGAAUAAAGGAGAUGAAUCCUGUUAUU